UAGUCUGGUGCCAGCAGCCGCGGUAAUUCCAGCUCCAAUAGCGUAUAUUAAAGUUGUUGCAGUUAAAACGCUCGUAGUCGGAUUUCGGGGCAGGUUUGCCGGUCUGCCGAUGGGUAUGCACUGGUAGAACUGUCCUUCCUUCCGGAGACGGCGCCUACUCUUAACUGAGCGGGUGUCGGAGACGGAUCGUUUACUUUGAAAAAAUCAGAGUGUUUCAAGCAGGCAGCUCGCUUUUGCAUGGAUUAGCAUGGGAUAAUGAAAUAGGACUUUGGUGCUAUUUUGUUGGUUUCGAACACCGAAGUAAUGAUUAACAGGGACAGUCAGGGGCACUCGUAUUCCGCCGAGAGAGGUGAAAUUCUUAGACCAGCGGAAGACGGACCACUGCGAAAGCAUUUGCCAGGGAUGUUUUCACUGAUCAAGAACGAAAGUUAGGGGAUCGAAGACGAUCAGAUACCGUCGUAGUCUUAACCAUAAACCAUGCCGACUAGGGAUUGGAGGAUGUUCCUAUGUGACUCCUUCAGCACCUUUCGGGAAACUAAAGUCUUUGGGUUCCGGGGGGAGUAUGGUCGCAAGGCUGAAACUUAAAGGAAUUGACGGAAGGGCACCACCAGGAGUGGAGCCUGCGGCUUAAUUUGACUCAACACGGGGAAACUUACCAGGUCCAGACAUUGUGAGGAUUGACAGAUUGAGAGCUCUUUCUUGAUUCGAUGGGUGGUGGUGCAUGGCCGUUCUU
rnacentral:rRNA from 1 species